UACAGAGGUCUCAAGCGUUGUUCGGAUCCAUUGGGCGUAAAGGGUGCGUAGGCGGCGCGGUAAGUCGGGUGUGAAAUCUCGGAGCUUAACUCCGAAACUGCAUUCGAUACUGCCGUGCUUGAGGACUGGAGAGGAGACUGGAAUUUACGGUGUAGCCGUGAAAUGCGUAGAUAUCGUAAGGAAGACCAGUGGCGAAGGCGGGUCUCUGGACAGUUCCUGACGCUGGGGCACGAAGGUCAGGGGAGCAAACGGG
rnacentral:rRNA from 1 species